UUAGAACCUGGAAAAGGCAGGGAUAUGGAUUCUGCCCAAGACAUGCAGAAGGAAGGUAGCCCUGCUGACAACUUGAUUUUAGGACUUCUGACCUUUGUUGUAAUUUGUUACAGCAGCAAUAAGAAGUGAAAACACAGCUCUAGUGCUUAGAUAGAGCUAGGCACACAGUAGGAACUUAAGUGUUUCUUCCACAAAUGAAUAUUUGAGCCAUUUGCAGUGCAAUGUUUGUGUCUCCGUUUCACGUAUAUCUUCUUGUAAGUCAAGGUUUAUGAGUGGUCAUCAAAUGAAAAGUGGAAGGGACAUUUCUCUGAAAGUCUGUAGCAGAGAUUUUCCUGUCAUAGACAACACAAGCUGGUUUGAGCAGCAUUAAGUGUGAGGGAAUUCAAUAGAUUUAUUCUGUAACUUGGGAAAACUUGUUUGAUCUCUCAGGGUCUCUGUUUUCCCAUCUGUAAGAAAUCAAAAGUUAGUCUCGCCUUCUUCCUGACGGUGAAGUUCAUAAAGACAGAUGAUGUUAUUCAACCAGAGUAUUCCUUGGAAGACAAGGUUCUAUAUAAAUCCUGGGUAGCCUGAUUGUUGCAUUAAUAAUAAAUAUUUAAGAAAUAAAGCCCACGUUUUCAAAAACAAAUAAACGAAGACACCCAGCAUCACCUGUCACUUAGGGAAGGUUGUGCUCUCUUCCUGAACUAAAACACUUAGUGUUUUUAAUAGCUUCACUUCUUAAUAUUCUGUAACCAAAGAAGUGGAAUGCACAACUUUAGGAUUAAAUAUUAAAAUAUUAAAUAUUAAAUCAGACAGCAGAAAUUCAUCACAUGCUUGAAUCUGCCCAGUUUACUCGGGGUUUCCUAGGCACGCUAAGAAAUCCAAGUACUGUUCUUAUUCACUGAGGUCAUUUCUUUCCUCUUUUAAUGCCAGACACACAGGCACCAUAUACAUCUUUUUAUUGAUCAAUCUCAAAGAGUUGAAUGAAAUAGAACAAAUACUAGCAUCUGUACUUGAAAUAACCCAUCUGGCAUGAUGAAUCUAGAGGUUGCAUUUACUAGACAUGGCCAGUUAUUCCGAAUGAGGAAGCGGCACAUGAUUUGUCUUCUUGGCCAAUGUCUGUUUCUUCUUGACUCCUCGUACCAGCAGCUUUGUGUAGCCUGCGUUGCAACCCUGGGCCCGAUCUUUGUGUAAAUUUUGACUGCAACAGUGGCCUGACAGUCAGCUGGGUGUCAUCAUAAUCCAAGCUCCAGUACUCAAAGAAGACCAGAGAACCCUGCUAACUUGAUUGAUGGAAUCUGGUGUUUCUCUACCCAAGGAAAACAACUUUGAUGUUUAUCUUCACUCUUUCUGCCUCCCCUGUCUGUCUUUCAAAUUCUUGCUCAGAGAAAGUCUUCUGCCCUCCAAAACCCAUUUCUGAGAGAUGACCUGAUGCUAGGCAUUUAUAAUUCAUUCUUUAGGUAAGCCACAGGGUUUAGUGAAAAGACAGAAAGACCUACUCCCCUGCUUAGCUUGUGACCUUGAGCAAGCUGGUUCACCUUUUGAGACUAUUUUCUCAUCUGUUAAUGAAGAUGGAAGGAAUAGUGUGAUUAUGUUUACACAGUGGUAUGUUGCCAUUCACAAGCUUGGAGGUAUUAAUUAAGUCACAUUUCCUUUAGUGAUUAGAUUAACACAACCCUAAGCCUUAAUGCUGGCCUGGCAAAAACUCCUCUGAGCAUGUGUGUUGGAGGGAAUAUAUAGCGGGAGAGGGAAGAAGGAGAAAGUGUUUAUCCGUAACGAUACUCAACCACAAUUGCUAUUAUCCUAGCCCCAGUUUCUCUUUCUUAUUUUUUAUUUUUUUGAGACAGGAUCUUGCUCUCUCACCCAGGCUGGAAUGCAGUGGCACAAUCUCAGCUCACUGCAACCUCCACUUCCCAGGCUCAAACAAUCCUCCCACCUCAGCCCCCCAAGUAGAUGGAACUACAGAGACAGAGUGUUGCUAUAUCAUGCAGGCUGGUCUCAAGCAGUCCUCCCACCAUGGCCUCCCAAAGUGCUGGGAUUACAGGCGUAAGAUACCAUGCCCUGCCUUCAUGUUUUUUUGUUUUUGUUUUUUAAAUACCAUCAGCACCAUUUUGGUGAACUACACAGCAUAUAAGAAAAAUAAUCCCUUGCUUUUGCCGCAAGUAACAUUUUAUAAUGGCAGAAGAGGCAACCCUGGCAGGCUUCGCUAUAUUUCCUGUAGAACUUCCUACCAGCGUUGGCUAAAAGGAUGCUGAAGACCAAUUGGGGCAGAGCAAGAUUACGAUAUUGUAGAUAUCCGACAGAGAGAAAGAGAAUGUGAUUGACUCUUAACUAGAGUCACGCACCACUCUGGAUCAAUCAUCUGAGGCCUGGGAGAAGUGUCAUAACACAGAAUAAAAGCUUCAUGAGUGCAAGAACUACGAUUAUCUUGUAGACAGGGUAGAGGCUAGCCUAAACUAGAUUCCUGUGCACCUCUGCGUGAAUUAGAAAAAAACACCCUCUCCAAAAAGGUGGGUUAGAAAAAGUCACAUCUUCUUGGUAGAUGCCGGUUGCAUGGGUUCAUAGCUUUGACGAGUGGAUUUCAACCCCUCGCUUUUCUUCGGCAUGUCGUACAAGAACUUCAGAAAUAUAUGUUGCAGCCCUGCUUGUCUAGUGCUAUUUGGGAUCACCCCUGGCACAUAGUGAAUGAAUCAAUAUGAUACCGUAAUUGAAUAAGAGGAGACCAUAAUACCCUCUUAGACCUACCAAACAAUCCAUGUUAUACAGCAAUAUCUUAUAUAGGAACAACAACAAUAAAAAACCUUGGAAGGCCUUUGAGACCAACCUUGAUUCCCUUACAGACCAGCUAGAGCCAGUCAGAGGCUCACAGCUGGAACACAACAGCACUUCAAUAGCACAGUAACCAAUUGAGGCUGACUUCUGUGACCUUCUGAUAUUUCAUAAAUGCACCAGCCGCAGGAACUCUUAUUUAAGUACUCCUGUUAGCCUUGUUCUUGCCUACUGACUUUACAGCCCCCUGUACAUGGCUGGGCUAGUGGGACGGAAGCCUUCCAACUGAGCAUCCCUUGCUAGAGGUCCUGUGAGUCCUGACAAAGCCUGUCUCCUGCCUUUUAAGAAUAGCAGAGUCAAAUAAAAUCUUGCCAGUGACUUUGGCCCACGCGUGGAGUGACGCCGACGGAUCUGCCUGAAAUGGAGACAUUAAAGAAUUUUGCAAAGCAAAGAAAAACCCACGGUUGCUUCCAUAAAUCAAAACUUCAAAUAAGAACGCAGCUUUAGCAAUUCAUUCCCUGCAGAAUUAACCUUUGUUUCCCGGCAGGCUGCUUCUAAGAAUAUGCUUCGUGCCUAAAAGGAAAUAGGAGAGCCCUUACAGAAUGGGUUUUAUGUUUACCACGCAGGAGGAAAAGCUGAAAUGAAAGCAAAGUUGAAAAGGAAGCUUGUUUCUAACUAAUCCAGCCUCUAGAUAGAAGUCCUAAGAUGCAAAAGCAAUUAUCAUAUACAUGAAUCUGUGUCCCUACUCACAGAUGCACAAAUGCCACUUCUUCGUCUGCUGUUUCUGUAACUUACUCCUGGCAAGGAUAACAGAGUUCUGGGGACUGGAAAAGGACUCAUCAUCCAGAUUCUUCUCUUCUUUAGGAUUCAACUUGGGACCUCCUCCUGGAAGUCCUCCUGGAUUUGAGAAGUACCCUUCCCCUGUGUCCCCAUAAAACCCUAUGAAUUUCUUUAUUAUUGAAUUUGUCACAUUGUAUUACAGUUAUCUGUUCAUGCGUCAAAGACAAGGGUAUUUUAUUUGACUUUAAAAAAAUCAUUAAAGUCAAAUACUUAGCACAUUGUCUGGAAUAGAAUGACAUCUCAGUAAGGUCUUAAUGAAAUAGUCAAUGGACCAUUCUGUUAACAGUUGCCUAUCGAACUCAUACUAUUUGUUGUCACUCUGCCACACACUAAGACUGUAUACAAGAAAUAUAACAUGUAAUAACAGUGGUUGCUAUCAUUUUUGAAUAUCUAUUCCAAGUCAGGUACUCUGCUAAUUGCUUUACAAAUGGGUUUCACCUGAAUACGUCGCAGCAGCUAUGACCUUCAUUUCAUAGAUCAGACUGAGACCAUAGUAGAUGAACUGACUUUUCCCCAAAGACACACAACAGGCAAGAGGAAGAACCGGGAGUUGAACCAGUCUCCAAAUCCUCUGAUCUAUUACCCUAUAGGAGUUUGCUUCUCUGACCUUAAGAAACAUGUGAUAUAAUGGGGGUUCGGUGGAGUGGUGUCAAAAGUACAAUGCAUUUGAAAUGCUGGAAAACCAUUAAGUGUCAGACGGUAGGGUGGUGCCUUCAUGGAGAAACAGGGAUCAACGAAGCAGGAGCUCCCUGUGUACUGGAUUAAUCAAGGAAAGAUUCAUGGCGGGUCCAGAACUUGAACUAAAAUCAGAAUGGAAUUUAAAUAUAUGGAGAAGAGAAGGUAAAGUAGAGAAACUUACGUUCAUUGAGUACAGAACAUUGGUCUUGGUAAAGAGAUUGGGUUUUGAAACUGGCAGAAUCUGGCACUGAAUUCAAACCUGCUAUUUUAAAGCUGUGAGAACUUUUGCAAUUUGCCCAACCUUUUGAGCCUCUCCACCACCAUAUGUAAAUAGGCAUAGUAAGACCUCUGGUAUCAGUUAAGAAUGCUUUCAUAUGCAAGUAAAAGACAUGUUGAAAAAUGGUGUAAAACAUAAGGACACAUAUGCAUCUCAGGGUUUGUUGAGUAAUUCAGUGGUGUUAUCAAGAACUCAGGCUCUUUUUGUACAUGCGGUCUCCCAUGCCCAGCUGUUAACUCCUCAUCCUUAUGUGUGAAAGAUGGCUGCCACAGAACCAGCCAUUGCAAUCACAUUCCAAGGCAGAAAGGAGGAGUAUGGGAAGUGCUAACACAACUUGUCCUUUUUAUCAGGAAACUAACUAACGCCUUCCCAAACACUCUUCUUUAGGAAUUUCUCCCCUUUUAUUUCAUGGAACAAAGCUGGGUCUCAUGUUGACUCUGAGCUGCAGGGAGAAUCUAUCUAUCUGCAGCUAUCUAGCCUGACUUUAUUCUCUCCAUAGUAGGAGGUAAGUAGAGGAAAACAGGUUGAGAAUGGCUUUUGGGAUAGCCAAACAAGAGCACUGGCCGUGCCUACCUCACUGGCAGUUUAAGGAUCCAGGAAAAAGAUGCAAGUAAAAGAGCAGUGAAGCACUCAUAGAAAGCAGCCAGGACAUGCUGCUCUGGGGAAACGUUGGACAAAACCAUGAUUAGGCUGGGUGCGGUGGCUCACGACUGUAAUCCCAACACUUUUGGAGGCCAAGGUGGGCAGAUCACCUGAGGUCAGGAGUUCGAGACCAGCCUGGCUAACAUAGUGAAACCCCGUUUCUAUUAAAAAUACAAAAAUUAGCCAGCCAUGGUGUUGGGCACCUGUAAUCCCAGCUAUUCAGGAAGCCGAGGCAGAAGAAUUGCUUGAACCUGGGAGGCAGAAGUUGCAGUAAGCCG
rnacentral:lncRNA from 10 species